rnacentral:lncRNA from 1 species
CUUGGUUCUAUAUUUCAAAUUCUCAGCACCAAGCCAGGAAUCAGACCCGUGUGGUUCCUCUUUCCUCCUGGAGGAAGGCGCUAUGUGGAUUUCAAGCACUACAAUAGCCUUGAAAAUCAAAGGCCUGGCAACCACUCGAGCGAGCAGAAUGAGACUGGAGCACGUUCAAAACCACAUUAUCAGAGAAUCUGCCUGGUGAUUUUCUGGACAAGCCUACUAGCAAGGCUAUCUUUAUUGACCUAACAUGGAGCUCAACAUCUGAGGCCCUAGAAAACAGGUACGGCUUGGUUGAUUUAAUAUUCUCCUCUGUAUCCUUACCUAUCUG